rnacentral:misc_RNA from 1 species
UCCCUUGUCUUCCCCAGCCGCUUCGACACCACCGCCACGCAAGCGUUCACGUACCCACGAGAAUACGAUGUCAAGUUCAAGAUCUCCCUUAUGUACUUCUCGUUCGCCGGAUCAUCGUCGUGGCUCAUCGCCUUUACUAACGCCACCUCGAGCUCCGGUGCCAUAUUACUCACUACCUUGGCUAUGCCAAUGCUCGUUUGAUCCUUAACGGUCCCGAUAGCUUUCCUGAUCGUGCUUGGCGCCAUCUCCACCGUCCGAUUCAAUCAAAACCCAACAGAUC